rnacentral:rRNA from 1 species
GCCAAACAGCUAGCUUAACUAUUAUAUUAACAAAAAAAUAUUAAUAACAAACAAUAACCUUAAAUCAACAAAUUAAACCAUUCUACACAUCUUAGUAUGGGCGACAGAACAGAUUCAACAAAGCAAUAGAGAAAGUACCGCAAGGGAAAGCUGAAAGAGAAAUGAAACAAACCAUAUAAGCACUAAAAAGCAGAGCUCAGCCCUCGUACCUUUUGCAUCAUGAUUUAGUUAGUAUAAUAAAGCAAAGAGACCUUUAGUUUUACACCCCGAAACCAGGUGAGCUACCCCGAGACAGCCUAUUCAUUUAGGGCAAACUCAUCUCUGUGGCAAAAGAGUGAGAAGAGCUCCGGGUAGAAGUGACAGACCUACCGAACCUGGUGAUAGCUGGUUGUCUAAGAAAUGAAUAGAAGUUCAGCCUCGUACACCCCAAAUUUAAAACACAAAAUUAAAAUUAAGAGCAACAUACGAGAGUUAGUUAAAAGGGGUACAGCCCUUUUAACACAGGAUACAACCUUUAAAGGAGAAUAAAGAUCAUAAUAACCAAAACAUAAUGUUCUAGUGGGCCUAAAAGCAGCCAUCUAAAUAGAAAGCGUUAAAGCUCAAACAAAAACAGUUAAUAAUACUGAUAAACAAUCUUACUUCCCUAAAAGUACUAGACCAAUCCAUGCAUCCAUGGAAGAAACUAUGCUAAAAUGAGUAACAAGAAGAACAUAACCUUCUCCCAGCAUAAGUGUAAGUUAGAUCGGACAAACCACUAACAAUCAACGAACCCAAUAAAAGAGGGAAUUGUGAAUAAUAAAUUAAAUAAGAUCUCACAACCAAAGAUCGUUACCCCUACACUGGAAUGCACAACAGGGAAAGACUAAAAGAAAGGGAAGGAACUCGGCAAACACAAGCCUCGCCUGUUUACCAAAAACACCGCCUCCUGCGGAACAAAUAUAGGAGGUCCAGCCUGCCCAGUGACUUCAAGUUCAACGGCCGCGGUAUUCUGACCGUGCAAAGGUAGCGCAAUCACUCGUCCCUUAAAUAAGGUCCUGUAUGAAUGGCUAGACGAGGGCUUAACUGUCUCCCCCUUCAGGUCAGUGAAAUUGAUCUAUCCGUGCAGAAGCGGAUAUAAAAAUACAAGACGAGAAGACCCUUUGGAGCUUUAGGUACAAGACUUACUUACGUCAAAUAAUCUAAUCAAGGCACAAAACUUAGUAAAACAUAAGACUUUACCUUCGGUUGGGGCGACCAUGGAGGAAAAAACAGCCUCCAAGUGGAUUGGACACAUUCCAAAAACCAAGAGAAACAUCUCUACGUCACAGAACAUCUGACCAAUUAUGAUCCGGUCACAAGACCGAUCAACGGACCAAGUUACCCUAGGGAUAACAGCGCAAUCCUCUCCAAGAGUCCAUAUCGACGAGGGGGUUUACGACCUCGAUGUUGGAUCAGGACAUCCUAAUGGUGCAGCCGCUAUUAAGGGUUCGUUUGUUCAACGAUUAACAGUCCUACGUGAUCUGAGUUCAGACCGGAGUAAUCCAGGUCAGUUUCUAUCUGUAAAGCUACUUUUUUCUAGUACGAAAGGAUUGAAAAAAGGGGGCCCAUGCUCAAAGCACGCCCCACCUCAAAUUUAUGAGUAAAAUAAAUAAAAUAAAGGGGGGCAAUAAUGCCAACACCCAAAAUAAGGAUUU